rnacentral:lncRNA from 1 species
AUUUGUGCCCUGCGCUGUGACGGGACUAGAGGAUUGAAGAAGGGAGAUCCACCCGGCUAUGAGUUGGUGCCAGGAAGGCCAUUGCAGAGAAAGGCAGGCGUGGAGUGUCCUCUGCCAGAGGCUGCCUGAGCUCCAUGGAAGGAGGCCAGUGUGGCAGUGAGGUGCCUGGCUGCCCGCCCCUCCCCUCACUCCUCUAAUAACCACCAUUUCUGUCUCCACCAAUUCUGGGACACCCACCUGCAGGUUCAAGACCACUCACACUUGGGCACUGAUGGGCCUCUAUGGGGUCAUGGAAGGAGCCCUCAGGCAGUGGAAUGUCUCAGGUGACCCCUGCCAAGGGGCCAAGCCCAGCUUUUGUUGCUUAGCCUCCUCCAAGGAAAACCCUCCCUGGGAAAGUUCUGAUGAUCACCACCUCUGACCAAGCCAUACUUCCUGUAAGCACCAGAAAGAAAGUGAUUCCAGGUUCUAUUAUUGAACUUUACACUAUCGUUUCAACAAAAUAAAG